UCUCCAGCCGUGAACCACCUGGACUCCAGCAGUAACCCGUCCUCCACCACCUCCUCCACACUAUCCUCCCCCGCGCCCUUUCAGUCUUCCAAUCCUCCCAGUGCGACGCCGCACCCGAACCCCUCGCCGAUGGCUCAGCGGGACAGCAGGUUUAAUUUCUCAGACAUCUCUACCCCAUCCCAAGCACCCCAAGUCCCUGAUGCAGCUGAAGAGACACGGGUCAAUGACCAGCCGAAAGCCAGUAUGACUGAGGACCAUGAAACAGAGGCGAGCUUGGAGAUGGCACAGCAGAGAUCUGUGGGUCAAUCACUCCUCUCCUCUGCCC